AAAAGUCCAAACAAAAGUCCUCUGAAGCCAGCUAUGUUUUCAGCAAAACAGGGCAAGAUACUGAAUUGCUGUAGCUGAGGCACCUGUGAAUGGGUGGCCACGUCCAACACCUCCUCCUGCGUGAAGUCCUCUGAGACACAGGGAAAAGUUCCCAGUGCACAGCAUCACUCCUGCAACUGUAUGCACCUAAAACCAAGUAGGAGCAUGCCUAUACCACUUAGAAGUAUGCAUGGGCACUCUUGGGGGCAUAUCAUCCCAUGUGCAUGGGGGAUUAGCAGUGCCUCCAGAGGAAUGGAGCUCACCAAUAAGCAGCUGGGUCACACUAAGGAGCAGAAAAGAAGUGAUGCUCAAGGCCUCACAGUCAUCAGGGCAUGAAACGUGUCUUGUUUAAUGCAGUGAGACUGGUACCCCAUGCAGCAACAUGAUUCUGAGGGUAUAUGAGCAACUGCAGCGAGUGUUUUUCUACCAGCACUGGUUUGUGUACCACACACUCAACCCAUGUGAUGCUCACAGCACACAACAAAUACUGAGCAGUGAUUUCCAACCUCACUCGUGUCAAGUGGUUCCCAUGGUGCUGCAUCAGUCUAUGCAGCAUAUCAGCUUGGACCUUGAAUUAGCACAGCUGGGAGUCAUGGGGGCUGGUGCCUGUACUCAGCCCAGCAGUGCAACACAGCUGUGCUGCCAUUAAUCAGCAGCCGGCUCCAUGCAGAAGCAGUUCAAGUGCCUCUGUGCUGUGGUUGCCAGCAGUCUGCUUUCCGAGUUUAUCAUAUUUGGUACUUGAAGUACUUGCGGUUACUCUGUCUUCUGUUACUCUGAUGUUAAGUGUGGUGUUAAAA
ensembl:lncRNA